GAUAAACGCUGGCGGCGUGCCUAACACAUGCAAGUCGAACGCCCUUUUUGCGCAAGUGAGAGGGAGUGGCGGACGGGUGAGUAGCACGUGGGUACCUACCCCAAGAUGAGGAAUACCACCGAGAAAUCGGUGACAAGACCGCAUACCUUCGGCCACGAAGAAAGCUUCUCCUCACGAGAGGCGUCUUGGGAUGGGCCUGCGCCUGAUUAGCUGGUUGGUGAGGUAACAGCUCACCAAGGCGACGAUCAGUAGCUGGUCUGAGAGGAUGAUCAGCCACACUGGGAUUGAGAACGGCCCAGACUCCGUACGGGGGCAGCAGUGAGGUAAUUUUCGUCAAUGGGGGCAACCCUGAACGAGCAACGCCGCGUGCAGGAUGACAC
rnacentral:rRNA from 1 species